ACAAGCCUAUGAUGGCUAGUUAUCCCUGUCUGAAAAUCAGCUGAGGGAAAACCAUCUGUUCUGAGGCUUGA
rfam:Tupaia chinensis contig37966, whole genome shotgun sequence.